ACAGCAUGUUCGAGGCCACCUGGCCCCGGACUGCCCCUAGGCAGCUUCUGGUCUCGAGAGGGACAGAGUUGGGCGCGGACUCCCCCGGCCUCUUGUAGGGGGAUUAGUGGUGGGGGACUUCAAAAGGGAUAGCCGGGAGGGCUGCUUAGAGGAGGCAUUGUUGAAUUUUGUAUUCUGUUAUUUUACCUUCACAUCCGUGGGGUCUUAAUCCCCAUGGGUCUUGAUUCGCUUCUAAGUGUGCCCCUCGCCCAGCCUGAGCCACUCCCUGGGUACCGCCUGGGCUCCCAGCUCCUGCCAUCUGGGGAGUCCACCUCCUCACUAACCCCAGAGGGCUUGUGUGACCCAUAGAUUGGGCUUCCCGGCUCUAACGCCCUCCACACCUUCCCAUCUCCCUGGAAUACAAAUCGCCCCCUUUUCCAGCCUACCUCCUGCAUCCCGCGUGCAGGCUGCGCUCUCCCCCACUCAUUCAGACUUUUCCUUAGAUGUCUCCUUUAGGAAGCCCUUUGACCCAGGCUGGGUCAGAAGCCCUCUCCGGGCUUCCCCGGCGCCCUGCGUGUCCUUAUUAGGACUCUGAUUGCAUGUGUUGGCUCUUCUCUGGGAGUCCCAUGCAGGCAGAAAGCUCAUUUGUGCCACCUCUUUCCCCAGCAUCGCACACGUAUUAGGUGCCCAGUACAUAUUUAUUGAAUGACGUGUGCAAGUGAGUGAGUGUUUACUACACAGAGAAAAGUGUCUGUAUUUCCAGCUUGGGCUGUCAUAACUAAUACCACAGACUGGGUGGCUUAAACAGCAGAAAUUGCCAGGCACUGUGGCUCACACCUGUAAUCCAGGCACUUUGAGAGGCCGAGGCAAGCGGAUCACUUGAGGUCAAGAGUUUGAGACCAGCCUGGCCAACAUAGUGAAACCCCGUCUCUACUAAAAAUACAAAAAUCAGAUAGGCAUGGUGGCACAUGCCAACAUGGUGAAACCCCAUCUCUAUAAAAAUACAAAAAUUAGCCGGGCGUGGUGGCAGGUGCCUGUAAUCCUAGCUGCUUGGGAGGCUGAAACAGGAGAAUUGCUUGAACCGGGUGGGUGGAGGUUGCAGUGAGCCGAGAUUGUGCCACUGCAUUCCAGCCUGGGUGAAAGAGCAAAACUCCGUCUCAAAACAAAAAAAAGCCCCAACGUGGAAACAGCCCAAAUGUCUAGCUGUGGACAAUGGAUAAACAAAAUGUGGCGUAUCCAUGCAGUGGAGGAAUAUUCAGCCAUAAAAAGGAACGAAGGGCCAGGCGCAGUGGCUCAGGCCUGUAAUCCCAGCACUUUGGAAGGCCGAGGCGGGAGGAUCACUUGAGCCCAGGAGUUCAAGGCCAGCCUGGGCAACAUAGUCAGACCCUGCCUUAAAAAAAAAAAAAAAAAGCUAGGCAUGGUGGCCUGCACCUAUAGUCCCAGCUACUUAGGAGGCUCAGGUGGGAGGAUCACUUGAGCCCAGGAGGUCAAGGCUGCAGUAAGCCGAGAUUUCGCCACUGCACUCCAGCCUGGGCGACAGAGUGAGACCCUGUCUCCAAAAUAAAUAAAUAAAUGUACUCUCACACUGUGUGGCCUUUUGUGUCUGGCUUCUUUCACUUAGUAUUGUGUUGUUGAGGUUCAACCACAUUGUAUCAUGUAUGUAUUGGUGCCUUGUUUCCUUGUUUCCUUUUUUUUUUUUUCUUUUAAGAGACAGGGUCUUGUUCUGUUGCCCAGGCUGGAGUGCAGUGGCACAAUCAUAGCUCACUGUGGCCUCAGCCUCCUACGCUCAGGCGAUCCUUCCACCUCAGCCUCCUAAGUAGCUGGAACUACAGGCACAAGCCACUGUGCCUAAUUAUUUUUUAUUUUGUAGAGACGGACUCUUGCUAUGUUGCCCAGGCUGGUCUUGAACUCCUGGCCUCAAGCAAUCCUCCUGCCUCAGCCUCCCAAAGCACGGGGAUUACAAACGUGAGUGAUCGCACCCGGCCUGUGAUUCCAUUGAUAUGGACUGAAAUGUCCAGAACAGGGAAAGCCACAGAGACAGAAAGCAGAUUGAUGGUUACCAGGGGCUAGGGGAAGAGGAAUAGGGAGUGACUGCUGAUGGUGAUGUGGCCUCUUUUGGGGGGUGCAAGUGUUCUGGAACUAGACAGAGGUGGUAUUUGCACAACGCUGUGAAUAUACUUAAACACUGAAUUGUACACCUUUUUUUUUUUUUGAGAUGGAGUCUCGCUCUGUCGCCUAGGCUGGAGUGCAGUGGUGUGAUCUCAGCUCAUUGCAACCUCCGCCUCCCGGGUUCAAGUGAUUCUCCUGCCUCAGCCUCCCGAGUAGCUGGGAUUAUAGGCAUGUGCCACCACACCCAGCUUUUUGGUUUUUUUUGAGAGUGAGUCUCACUCUGCCGCCUAGGCUGGAGUGCAGUUGCACGAUCUCGGCUCACUGCAACCUCUGCCUCCCAGGUUCAAGCGGCUUUCCUGCCUCAGCCUCCUGAGUAGCUGGGAUUAAAGGUGUCCGCCACCACACCCAGCAAUUUUUAUUUAUUUUUAGUUGACACGGGGUUUCACCAUGUUGACUAGACUGGUUUUGAACUCCUGACCUCAGGUGAUCCGCCCACCUUGGCCUCCCAAAGUGCUAGGAUUACAGGCGUGAGCCACUGUGCCUGGCCGGAAUUGUCCACCUUUAAAUUGAUUCUUUUUCCUUUCAUUGAGACGGAGUCUCACUCUGUCGCCCAGGCUGGAGUGCAGUGGCACGAUCUUGGCUCACUUCAACCUCCACCUCCCGGGUUCGAGCGAUUCUCCUGCCUCAGCCUCCUGACUGGCUGGGAAUACGGGUGCACACCACCAUGCCCAGCUAAUUUUUGUAUUUUUAGUGGAGAUGGGGUUUUGCCGUGUUGGCCAGGCUAGUCUCGAACUUCUGACCGCAAGUGAUCCGCCCGCCUCGGCCUCCCAAAGUGCUGGGAUUACGGGUGUGAGCCACCAGACCUGGCCUAAAUGAGCUCAUUUGGUGUCAUGAUGUGAAUUUUGCCUUAAUAAACUUUUACAAGGAGAGCGCUAAGUCCAAAGCCCUUGUUUUAUACAGAGAAGGCCACAGAGGCCCCAAGAGGGUCAUGGCUGCCCAAGUGUGAUUCUGGGGGUGCUGAGUGCCGAUGUCCCCUCCGGCCCCUGCUCCCCC
rnacentral:lncRNA from 10 species